UACGUAGGGUGCAAGCGUUUAAUCGGAAUUACUGGGCGUAAAGCGUGCGCAGGCGGUGAUGUAAGACAGGUGUGAAAUCCCCGGGCUUAACCUGGGAACUGCAUUUGUGACUGCAUCGCUGGAGUGCGGCAGAGGGGGAUGGAAUUCCGCGUGUAGCAGUGAAAUGCGUAGAUAUGCGGAGGAGCACCGAUGGCGAAGGCAAUCCCCUGGGCCUGCACUGACGCUCAUGCACGAAAGCGUGGGGAGCAAACAGG
rnacentral:rRNA from 1 species